rnacentral:lncRNA from 1 species
UCUUCUGCUAUGUAGGAGGAUACUGCAAUGAAUUGUCUUAUGUUCUAUGAAUUGUCUUAUGUUUUUGAGUAGAUCGGUCUAAGUUUAUGUGUUUUAUUUGUGGUUUAUAGUUUCUUGUCCGGCUUGGUAUGUUCGUAAGCUACCCCGAUGUGGGUUUUAGUCGCAUUUCCUUGGGCUCUUGUGUUUGGAGAUGUUCUGUUAUCCGCCGGUUGAUGUAUCCAAUGUUGUAUUCUUCCGUUGAAUGAAA